rnacentral:rRNA from 1 species
AGUGAACGCUGGCGGUAGGCCUAACACAUGCAAGUCGAACGGCAGCACGGUAAGAGCUUGCUCUUACGGGUGGCGAGUGGCGGACGGGUGAGGAAUACAUCGGAAUCUACUUUUUCGUGGGGGAUAACGUAGGGAAACUUACGCUAAUACCGCAUACGACCUACGGGUGAAAGCAGGGGAUCUUCGGACCUUGCGCGAUUGAAUGAGCCGAUGUCGGAUUAGCUAGUUGGCGGGGUAAAGGCCCACCAAGGCGACGAUCCGUAGCUGGUCUGAGAGGAUGAUCAGCCACACUGGAACUGAGACACGGUCCAGACUCCUACGGGAGGCAGCAGUGGGGAAUAUUGGACAAUGGGCGCAAGCCUGAUCCAGCCAUACCGCGUGGGUGAAGAAGGCCUUCGGGUUGUAAAGCCCUUUUGUUGGGAAGGAAAAGCAGCAGGUUAAUACCCCGCUGUUCUGACGGUACCCAAAGAAUAAGCACCGGCUAACUUCGUG